rnacentral:lncRNA from 1 species
UUGGCAAUGUAGAAAUCACAUACAAUGUACAAUGUAUUACAUUGAGAAAAUGUACAAUAGCAUCAUGUCAGAGCAAUGUUAUGGUAUUUUGAGUUUUAAAGAUUUAGAAGGUUUUUGUCGUCAAUUAAUUCAUACACGCUUUCAUUGUCGUGUUCUUCAAUAAACUCAUCUGGCUGCAUUGAACGUAGUGGAAUUGGUGGAACAUCUGAACCUCUUUCUCCAUAUUUGAUUGUACCUUUCUUUACCUUCUUUAUAUUUUGUUGGUAUUUGUAACACGCUGCAAUUGCACAUAAAGCCAGUAUGAUGAAACCAGCGCAGACCAUGUAGAUGAGUAUUGCAUAGUUUGUGGCUG